UACAGAGGUCCCAAGCGUUGUUCGGAUUCACUGGGCGUAAAGGGUGCGUAGGUGGCCAGGUAAGUUUGGUGUGAAAGCUCGGAGCUUAACUCCGAAAAGUCAUUGAAUACUAUCUGGCUGGAGGGUCGGAGGGGAGACUGGAAUUCUCGGUGUAGCAGUGAAAUGCGUAGAUAUCAGGAGGAAUACCGGUGGCGAAAGCGACUCUCUGGACGGCAACUGACGCUGAGGCACGAAAGCGUGGGGAGCAAACAGG
rnacentral:rRNA from 1 species